rnacentral:lncRNA from 1 species
GUUGCUGGCUGCUACUUUGCAUUUGUACAAACCCUAAGAUUAUCAAAGUGUUCGUACCACUCUUCUCACAAGUCAGGAGAAGAAUCUGACUCAUGUGCGGAUGGGAAUCCCCCAUGUGAAAAUAUCAGGUUCGAGUCAGAAACUAGCGGAGGUAAUACACAGGAAAGGCCCCACCAUAUAGAAUCCAUCCCAAUGGGAGAG